CCGAGUACUCGGGGAUGAAAAAGUUCAGAUCAAGUGGAGCGUGAAAAGGUUUUGGAGAGAUUCUUCGCUGUCUGCAGUACCGGCUCAUUUAACAUUCUGGAGAUACCUUUCCAAAUGGCCACCGCAGUAAUGCUGCACACUGCUGUGGCACUGACGAUGAUGCAUAUCUGGAAUAGCCGCGUCGGGGAUUGUCAGCCAGAACCGUCAGAAAGCGUGAAGCUGAGGUUGGUGAAUGGCGGCACUCGAUGUGAUGGGAGAUUGGAGAUUCAGUACAAAGGAAACUGGGGGACGGUGGAUGGUAACUCCUGGGAUAUG